CUUCCAUCUGAGAGUUCUGCCGCCCAUCAGUGCCCUUUUCGACCCUAAGCGUUCUUUGCGUCAAUCCCCGCCAUCUCCGCCGUCUCCCCGCCUACGUCGGGCCAAUCUAGGUUGGUCCGAAACUUCUCUUGUCAUUGCUGUCGUUCCUUCCUCUUCUUGCUUUGUUUGUUCAGCUUCCAAGGGUUUAUUCGCAAUCUUUCUCGACCUUUUGGGAUUUCCUUCUUUCUUUUCUCUUAUUGCAGGCAC
rnacentral:lncRNA from 1 species